GUCUGUGCAGAACAUGCUGUAAGGUUAAACAGGAGUGCCAAGUCAAAUGUGAGCAUGCAUCAUGUAUUUUGAGAUCCACUGAGCAUGGUGGCUUUAAAUGAGAAACGGACGCCAGCUGGGGAUGACUGGUGGGAGAUUACAGCGUAACGGGAGGCGGAGGGAAAAGCCAUUCAAAUGACGGCUUCAGGGAUCCUCCGCCCCCUUUGUGAACAAUGGCAGCAGCUGAAGGACGUCACAAUAUCACAGCAAUUUUUCCUUUUUUUUUUAAGUGACACAUUGUUUUACGUAGUGAUCAAGACAUAAAGGAAAACUGAAAACAUAGUUUAUACAUAGCUUAUACAACGAAGAAAACUGCUGCAAUAUUCUGCAUUUAAAUAAAUUGCUACAGAGUUUAUACAACAAAAAGAUCCACUAAUUCUGUGACACUUAAACGAGACACAUCUAUACCUUUGCUAGCGUAAUUAUUUAGAAUUCGUGGAAGGGUACAUUGAAGCAUCUGAAAGCCAUAAAUGGUACGAAAGUAAGGAACGUUCCACAUUUCUGUAUUUCUUGUUUCAUAGGCCUUCUCCUUUAAGCAAAAAUUUGCCAUCUCCACAAACAAAAAGUUGGAGCGUUUGCAGCUAAGACAGUACUCUUAGUAGUCUGUAUUGAUAUAGGUCAUUCACUUUGAUUAUCCUAUAUUUUUGAAAUAGUGGGUCACUAUAGGUGCUAGAACUAUAGCGUUGUCUAUCAGCCUCAGUAUUUUCUUCUGUAUUCUCAGUAAUUUCGUUAAGUUUGUUUCUGUAGUUGUUCUCCAAACCAAAUAGCAGUAGUUAAGAUAAGAACUAAACAGUGAUUUGUAUAUCAAUAACCUCACUGAGUUGAGGAUAAGGUACCGGAUAUGGCUUAACAUUCCAGUUAUCUGACUUAAUUUUAUUUGAUUAUUGACGUGGUCAUCCCAUUGCAAAGAAAUGACGAAAUGUACCCCAUGUACUUUCACUGACUUCACUAUUCCUAUAUCUGAGCCUCUAAUGCUAAAUGCUAAUGCAUUUUAAUGCAUUAGCAUAGCUUCAGGCACUUCCCGGAAGCUAUCUAUGUAUCUGUGUAUCUAACCGUGUUCCAGCCUACCUGUGUCACAGGCUAGUCAGUGGUUGAAUGGGUAGCACAUUGAGCUGCUGUGCUGAAGUAAUAGGGUUUGAAACCGAACAUCGGACGGACUUGGGUCAAUGAGUAUGUGUUCAUGUUUACAUACGUGCUGACACAUUUGAAUAAUAUUGACGUGGUCAUCCCACUGCUAAGAACUGGAGGAAUGUACCCCAAGUACUUUCACCGACUUCACUAUUUCUAUAUCUGAGCCUCUAAAUCACAAGGUUAUUCUGGAAGGUCACUUGUUGACCUUUCGAAUGAAAAACUAUGGCUUUUGUUUUAGUUGCAUUUAUUUUUAACUUAUUGUUACUUGUCUAGUUGUCUAACUUCUGUAAGACAUCAUUAGCUUUACUAGAAAGAAUAAGAUCUGAUGCUGAGGUGACAAAUAUAUUCAUUUAUAUCAUCUAUCAUCUGCAUAAUAUAUCAUUGCAUAGAUAAUAAACUUCUGGGGAGAUAUGGACUAUGUCAUUAAUAUAUAAAGUGAACAAUAAAGGACCAAGAAUGCUCCCCUGUGGUACAUCUGAAUUUGCCUUCUUAUCUGAUACGAAAUCAUUUAUAGAAACAAAUUGACAUCUAUGCACCAGAUAGCUUUUAAGUAACACGAGUGGGAGCCCACGAAUGCCAUAAUGGUUUAAUUUUUCAAAUAAGAUACCUUGGUGAAUGUAGUCAAAUGCUUGUGUGAAAUCCACAAAAAUUCCGACGACAUUAUUUUUUUGUUCGAACUGUUGUAAGAUGUAUUCUUUUUGAUCCAGUAGGGCGAGUUCUGUAGGCUUAUGUUUUUGGAAGCCAUAUUGCGAUUUUGUCAGGACAUAUUUGGUGCAAAAACAGGAUAAACGACUAAAAAUAAUUUUUUCGAAACCUUUAGAAAAUACGGGGAGAAUAGAUAUCGGUUGAUAAUUGGCUACGUAAUGCUUGUUCCCCUUUUUGCAGAGAGCUAUUACGCGUGCUGUUUGCAUUUCUGAAGGAAAAACCCCUGUCGAAAUACAGAAUAAAUAUGUGUUUUAGUGCUGGACUAAUCUGAUCAAUAACAUAUUUCACUGGUUUUAUUUGCAUGACAUCUGCGUCACAGCUGCGUCUGUUUCUUAAGCCAAGGAAUACUGUGCGGACUUCUAGUUCAAUAGUACCUGCUAAGAAAAAUGUGUUUGUAGUGUCUGAACCCAGAGUUCGGCAAGCAGCGGGUGAUCUGUCGUUAAAGUCUGUGUAAACGAAGUAAUCAUUAAGAACAUUGGCCAUAUCCUCUCCACUGACCAAGUUUCCAUCAUGGAGCACCUCCUUAAUUUGUUCUCGGAUUUCGGCCCAUCAAAGACUUUAUUUUAGUCCAUAAAACAUCUGCUCGUUUUGAGCACAAAGUAAAUGCUUGUAUGUAAUACAGCUCCUUUGAUUUCUUAAUUUCUUUACUUAAGGCAUUUCGGAACUGUUUGAAAGCAAUUAGGUCCGUUUCGACGCGCAUGCGCAUGAAUUUCCGGAAUAAUCUGUCUUUUUUUGUCAAUUUUACGUAGGAGUUCGCGCGUCAGCCAAGGUUUACGACAACCUUUACGUUUAUUCCAUUGUAUAUAAGGGAAGUGUUUUUUGUUUAUACAAAUAAAGGAUUCUACAAAAGCGUCA